rnacentral:rRNA from 1 species
UACGUAGGGGGCAAGCGUUGUCCGGAUUUAUUGGGCGUAAAGAGCGUGUAGGCGGUUCGGUAAGUCCGCUGUGAAAGUCCAGGGCUCAACCCUGGAAUGCCAGUGGAAACUGCCGAGCUAGAGUCCGGAAGAGGCGAGUGGAAUUCCUGGUGUAGCGGUGAAAUGCGCAGAUAUCAGGAGGAACACCAAUGGCGAAGGCAGCUCGCUGGGACGGUACUGACACUGAGACGCGAAAGCGUGGGGAGCAAACAGG